rnacentral:lncRNA from 1 species
AAAUAAUUGUAUAUCCAUGUCUACACCCAAGACAUGGAACUAGCCUAGAGUCCAUCAAUAGAGGAACAAAUAAAGAAAAUUGGGUGCAUAUACGCAAUGGAAUUUAAGGCUGCUCUGGAGAACAAAGCUAUCACUGGUGAACUCAGGAUGCAUUGACUGCAGUGCAGAAGAGAACUCAGGAUGCAUUGACUGCAGUGCAGAAGAGAACUCAGGAUGCAUUGACUGCAGUGCAGAAGAGAACUCAGGAUGCAUUGUCUGCAGUGCAGGAGAGAACUCAGGAUGCAUUGACUGCAGUGCAGAAGAGAACUCAGGAUGCAUUGUCUGCAGUGCAGGAGAGAACUCAGGAUGCAUUGUCUGCAGUGCAGAAGAGAACUCAGGAUGCAUUGUCUGCAGUGCAGGAGAGAACUCAGAAUGCAUUGUCUGCAGUGCAGAAGAGAACUCAGGAUGCAUUGUCUGCAGUGCAGGAGAGAACUCAGGAUGCAUUGUCUGCAGUGCAGGAGAGAACUCAGGAUGCAUUGUCUGCAGUGCAGGAGAGAACUCAGGAUGCAUUGACUGCAGUGCAGGAGAGAACUCAGGAUGCAUUGUCUGCAGUGCAGGAGAGAACUCAGGAUGCAUUGUCUGCAGUGCAGGAGAGAACUCAGGAUGCAUUGUCUGCAGUGCAGGAGAGAACUCAGGAUGCAUUGUCUGCAGUGCAGGAGAGAACUCAGGAUGCAUUGUCUGCAGUGCAGGAGAGAACUCAGGAUGCAUUGUCUGCAGUGCAGGAGAGAACUCAGGAUGCAUUGUCUGCAGUGCAGGAGAGAACUCAGGAUGCAUUGACUGCAGUGCAGGAGAGAACUCAGGAUGCAUUGUCUGCAGUGCAGGAGAGAACUCAGGAUGCAUUGACUGCAGUGCAGGAGAGAACUCAGGAUGCAUUGUCUGCAGUGCAGAAGAGAACUCAGGAUGCAUUGACUGCAGUGCAGGAGAGAACUCAGGAUGCAUUAUCUGCAGUGCAGGAGAGAAGACAUUUCUUUUUUGGGGAGGUGUGCAGCAACUUUAUUGAUGGUAUUCAAGAGAGUAGGGAGGGCUCCCUAGGCCCCUCCUGUUAUUAUGGGGCUGUGGGCUGGAAAUUGUGAGGAAGAUGCUCAGUGUUGAGGACUGAGUUGGGAUAGGGACUCCUCAGCAACCGAGGGCCUCUCACUUGCUCUCAGUGUCCUUGUUGGGGUAGGUGGUCCAGGGUUUCUUACUCCUUGGAGGCCAUGUAGGCCAUGAGGUCCACCACCCUGUUGCUGUAGCCAUAUUCAUUGUCAUACCAGGAAAUGAGCUUGACAAAGUUGUCAUUGAGAGCAAUGCCAGCCCCAGCAUCGAAGGUGGAAGAGUGGGAGUUGCUGUUGAAGUCACAGGAGACAACCUGGUCCUCAGUGUAGCCCAAGAUGCCCUUCAGUGAGCCCUCAGAUGCCUGCUUCACCACCUUCUUGAUGUCAUCAUACUUGGCAGGUUUCUCUAGGCGGCAUGCCAGGUCCACGACGGACACAUUGUGGGUAGGAACACGGAAGGCCAUGCCAGUGAGCUUCCCGUUCAGCUCUGGGAUGACCUUGCUCACAGCCUUGGCAGCAUCAGUGGGUGCAGGGAUGAUGUUCUGGGCAGCCCCACGACUAUCACGCCACAGCUUUCCAGAGGGGCCAUCCACAGUCUUCUGGGUGGCAGUGAUGGCAUGGACCGUGGUCAUGAGCCCUUCCACAAUGCCAAAGUUGUCAUGGAUGACCUUGGCCAGGGGGGCUAAGCAGUUGGUAGUGCAGGAUGCAUUGCUGACAAUCUUGAGUGAGUUGUCAUAUUUCUCGUGGUUCACACCCAUCACAAACAUGGGGGCAUCGGCAGAAGGGGCGGAGAUGAUGACCCUUUUGGCUCCCGUCACAAACAAGUGGGCCCCGGCCUUCUCCAUGGUGGUGAAGACACCAGUAGACUCCAUGACAUACUCAGCACCGGCCUCACCACAUUUGAUGUUAGUGGGGUCUCGCUCCUGGAAGACAGUGAUGGGCUUCCCGUUGAUGACGAGCUUCCCAUUCUCGGCCUUGACUGUGCCGUUGAAUUUGCCGUGGGUGGAGUCAUACUGGAACAUGUAGACCAUGUAGUUGAGGUCAAUGAAGGGGUCGUUGAUGGCAACAAUCUCCACUUUGCCAUGUGGAGAGCAGAAGGCAGCCCUGGUGACCAGGCGCCCAAUACGGCCAAAUCCGUUCACACCGACCUUCACCAUUUUGUCUACGGGACGAGGCUGGCACUGCACAAGAAGAUGCGGCUGUCUCUGGAACAGGGAGGAGCAGAGAGCCGAGAAGACAUUUCUAAUCUAGAAAAAUUUCUUCUGCCUUUUAAAAGCUAUCCUGCAUCUUUUAUAAGAUCCCUUCCUCUAACUGAGGGAUAGUAUAUCAUCCCUCAAAUAAUUGCUUUUACAUUUUAUUUUAUUCACUGUUGGAAAAUUGAAAAAUAUUUUGGCAAUAGAUUAGUAUCCAUGGAGGAAUUUUUUGUUUUUCCUUACUGAAUAUAUUUUUUUUUCUUCUCAAAACCAUCAUUCUUACUAAUGUUGGAGUUACUUUGUAGCUAUAGUUAGCCAUAGACUAAAGAAAUUUUUAAAAAUUCUAUGCUAGUUUGUAAAUGUUCAUAUCUUUCUCAAUCUUUGUCUCAUACACUUUCAAAACAGACUUACAAAAAAUGGCUUAAAAACAAAUGUAGUCUUUCUUCUUGGGCUCAAAGGAUUUUGAAGAAUAUAUUGAUGUGUACCCAAGCGAUUGGAGUAAUUUUCUGUAACAGGCUACAUUUAUGAGUGUGAUGUGUGUCUAACUCAUGUGGCCCUAAACUGAGACUAAUCCUGCAUUGUUCAAGCUUAUUAUAUGGGUUUAUGGUUGGUGAGUACAGUAGUAUGGUGGACCUAAACCCUGGGCCUCUGGACCCAUCAUGUAAGGUGAGGUGGGUGUGAAUGGACAUACAGGCACUGUGCACUGCAAGCACUCUUCAACAUCUGACUCUUAACAAUUAUAAAUGUAGCUGAGUUGUUGAUCUAUUGAAUGAGGAUAGAAAAUCACUCCUAUUUUAUGUAUAAAUAGAUUUCCUACUCACAGUUUGUGGAGAUGAGAGUAGAUGAUUAAGGCCAACAGGACAAUUCUAAUCAUUUAAUUUGGUGUCAGAACCUAGCUUAAACACAGGGAGUCCUCAUCAUAGGGAUGAGGUGUCCCUGAAUACAGAUUACAGAACUGGCUGCUUGGAUUAAUGAUGGCACAAGCCAGAGGAGUUAGGACUCUGAGGGAGCCUUUUAAGCCUAGGAGCUUUGCCAGGUGCAUCAAGGAGCUGAAAGAAUAGACCUCAAGUUACUACAGCAUCGGAGGGUGUGAGGAUGCCCCACACCAAGGUGGUUCUCCAACAAACCAUAGUUUUUGAAAAUAACACCUAACUGUUUAGACCAACAAAGCUAUUACCCUUUGUGAUGUCUACAUAGAUUUCUUUUCUCAUCUCCCUAUUGGACCAGCUCUCUUAAUAAAGACCCCAUUAUCUACUGACUAAAUAAAAUUAAUUUACCUUAUG